UUUUUAUGUGUCACAGGUUCAGCUCAAGCAAAGGUACUGCUAGUUACUCUUUGGUUUAUAGCCGGGUCAAACUCAGCUUGCAACUAUUUUCGAAUACUAUCUGAUUGAUAGUUUUAUUGUCAUUUCAGAUUUAUGACCGUGAUGGACUGACUCAGCUUUUUAUUCUUCAAUUUUUUUUUGAUUCCCAAUUCAAGGUUUGUAUUCUUACUGUUUUUUUUGUUAAAAAUUGUUGUGAUCUUGUGAUGGCAUCUACUAGUGGAGAUGUACUGGAUGGUCCUUCAAUUCUUGAUACAUUUCGGUAAGAGAACUCUGAC
rnacentral:lncRNA from 1 species